GACGAACGCUGGCGGCGUGCUUAACACAUGCAAGUCGAACGGAAAGGCCCUGCUUUUGUGGGGUGCUCGAGUGGCGAACGGGUGAGUAACACGUGAGUAACCUGCCCUUGACUUUGGGAUAACUUCAGGAAACUGGGGCUAAUACCGGAUAGGAGCUCCUGCUGCAUGGUGGGGGUUGGAAAGUUUCGGCGGUUGGGGAUGGACUCGGGGCUUAUCAGCUUGUUGGUGGGGUAGUGGCUUACCAAGGCUUUGACGGGUAGCCGGCCUGAGAGGGUGACCGGACAAAUUGGGACUGAGAUAAGGCCCAGACUACUAAGGGAGGGAAGAGAGGGGAAUAGUGCAAAAUGGGCGGGAGGCUGAUGGAACAAAGCCGCGUGGGGGAAGACGGGCUUUGGGUUGGAAACCGCUUUUGCCUGUGACGGAGCGUGAGUGACGGUAAUGGGUAAAGAAGCACCGGCUAACUACGUG
rnacentral:rRNA from 1 species